CGUAAAUGUAAACGCACUAUCUUUUGAUUUCCUCAUCACCGUAACACCGCAUAACUAAGUCACCUCCGUAAACCUCCGCACACCGCACACCGCACACUUUUUCUCAAGUGGUGCGUGGUUUGAUAUUAGGAAUAACAUUUGCUGCCAAGUCCCGAGGAAUUAAGAUAAGCAUUAAGAUUAGAUAACAAAAAGAAAGAUUCCAAUAGCUGAUACAAGCUAUAGGACAGAGGCUAGUGAAAAAGUUGAGUGCUUUGGAAAAAUUAGUCCCUACCAAGCUUACAAGCAGAGAUGUCUCACUGUUAUUGGAUCAAGGAUUCAAGACUCAGGAACACUGCUUCUUCCAUCGACUAUCAAAUGACAUAACCAUUUGUGGCUGCAGUUGUAACUAACAAAUCUGUCAAAAUGGUGGAGACUCUUUACAAUAUGAAUCGGG